AGUGAACGCUGGCGGCAGGCCUAACACAUGCAAGUCGAGCGGCAGCGCGGGGGCAACCCUGGCGGCGAGCGGCGGACGGGUGAGGAAUUCGUCGGAAUCUGCCUUUUUGUGGGGGAUAACGUAGGGAAACUUACGCUAAUACCGCAUACGUCCUAAGGGAGAAAGUGGGGGACCGCAAGGCCUCACGCAGAAAGAUGAGCCGACGACCGAUUAGCUAGUUGGUGGGGUAAAGGCCCACCAAGGCGACGAUCGGUAGCUGGUCUGAGAGGAUGAUCAGCCACACUGGGACUGAGACACGGCCCAGACUCCUACGGGAGGCAGCAGUGGGGAAUAUUGGACAAUGGGCGCAAGCCUGAUCCAGCCAUGCCGCGUGUGUGAAGAAGGCCUUCGGGUUGUAAAGCACUUUUGUCCGGAAAGAAAUCCCUGGAGCUAAUACCUUCGGGGGAUGACGGUACCGGAAGAAUAAGCACCGGCUAACUUCGUG
rnacentral:rRNA from 1 species